rnacentral:rRNA from 1 species
UACGAAGGGGGCGAGCGUUGUUCGGAUUUACUGGGCGUAAAGGGCGCGCAGGCGGCCAUUCAAGUCAGGCGUGAAAGCCCCGGGCUUAACCUGGGAGGUGCGUCUGGGACUGGGUGGCUGGAGAUCGGGAGAGGAGAGUGGAAUUCCCGGUGUAGCGGUGAAAUGCGCAGAUAUCGGGAAGAACACCCGUGGCGAAGGCGGCUCUCUGGGACGGUACUGACGCUGAGACGCGAAAGCGUGGGGAGCGAACAGG